UACGAAGGGGGCUAGCGUUGCUCGGAAUCACUGGGCGUAAAGCGCACGUAGGCGGAUCUUUAAGUCAGGGGUGAAAUCCUGGAGCUCAACUCCAGAACUGCCUCUGAUACUGGGGAUCUUGAGUCCGGAAGAGGUAAGUGGAACUGCGAGUGUAGAGGUGAAAUUCGUAGAUAUUCGCAAGAACACCAGUGGCGAAGGCGGCUUACUGGUCCGGUACUGACGCUGAGGCACGAAAGCGUGGGGAGCAAACAGG
rnacentral:rRNA from 1 species